rnacentral:rRNA from 1 species
UACGUAGGGACCAAGCGUUGUUCGGAUUCACUGGGCGUAAAGGGCGCGUAGGCGGCUUAACAAGUCACUUGUGAAAUCUCCGGGCUUAACUCGGAACGGCCAAGUGAAACUGUCAAGCUAGAGUGCAGAAGGGGCAAUCGGAAUUCUUGGUGUAGCGGUGAAAUGCGUAGAUAUCAAGAGGAACACCUGAGGUGAAGACGGGUUGCUGGGCUGACACUGACGCUGAGGCGCGAAAGCCAGGGGAGCAAACGGG